rnacentral:rRNA from 1 species
AUUGAACGCUGGCGGCAUGCUUUACACAUGCAAGUCGAACGGCAGCACGGGUGCUUGCACCUGGUGGCGAGUGGCGGACGGGUGAGUAAUACAUCGGAACGUGUCCUGAAGUGGGGGAUAACGCAUCGAAAGAUGUGCUAAUACCGCAUAAUCUCUAAGGAGAAAAGUAGGGGAUCGAAAGACCUUAUGCUUUUGGAGCGGCCGAUGUCUGAUUAGCUAGUUGGUAAGGUAAUGGCUUACCAAGGCGACGAUCAGUAGUUGGUCUGAGAGGACGGCCAGCCACACUGGGACUGAGACACGGCCCAGACUCCUACGGGAGGCAGCAGUGGGGAAUUUUGGACAAUGGGCGCAAGCCUGAUCCAGCAAUGCCGCGUGAGUGAAGAAGGCCUC